UACUAGAGUAGCACUCGCAUAUCAAUAAGCGGAGGAAAAGAAACUAACAAGGAUUCCCCUAGUAACGGCGAGUGAAGCGGGAAGAGCUCAAAUUUGAAAUCUUAAAGGGUUUCCCUUUACGAAUUGUAGUUUAAAGAAGUGUCUUCUGUUGAGGUUUUGGUAAAAGUUCUUUGGAAUAGGACAUCAUAGAGGGUGAGAAUCCCGUAUUUGACCUUUACUUUCAACUUUGUGAUACACUUUCAAAGAGUCGGAUUGUUUGGGAAUGCAGUCCAAAAUGGGUGGUAAAUUUCAUCUAAAGCUAAAUAUUGGCGAGAGACCGAUAGCGAACAAGUACCGUGAGGGAAAGAUGAAAAGAACUUUGAAAAGAGAGUUAAACAGUACGUGAAAUUGUCAAAAGGGAAGCGUUUGACACCAGUGUUGUUUUUCUGAAAAUCAAUUAAAGAACUGUUUAUGCUAAGUUGUUUAGACUUUAUCAGCUAUCUGUUUAGUUUUGAGCUUUUCUUUAAUGCACUUUUCAGUUAACAAGUCAACAUCAAUUUCUUUUGCUGUAAAAAAGCUUGAGGAAGGUGGCUUGAGAUUCGUCUUAAGUGUUUAUAGCCUCUUGCCUAUGCAGUCGGAGAGAUUGAGGUCUGCAGCGUAGAUCCUUCGGGGCUAAAUGCAUUUGUGCUAAGUUAUAGCAUUUUAUAGACAACUUGUUGACUAUGAUUUGUCUUGUAGCUUACUCGCUUAUGUUAUUUUACCUACGCUUAGGAUGUUGAGCGCAUGUCUCUCUCU
rnacentral:rRNA from 1 species